CGGCGGACGGGUGAGUAACACGUGGAUAACCUACCUAUAAGACUGGGAUAACUUCGGGAAACCGGAGCUAAUACCGGAUAAUAUAUUGAACCGCAUGGUUCAAUAGUGAAAGACGGUUUUGCUGUCACUUAUAGAUGGAUCCGCGCCGCAUUAGCUAGUUGGUAAGGUAACGGCUUACCAAGGCAACGAUGCGUAGCCGACCUGAGAGGGUGAUCGGCCACACUGGAACUGAGACACGGUCCAGACUCCUACGGGAGGCAGCAGAG
rnacentral:rRNA from 1 species